GGRRUSCCUUWGUAACSGMGAGUGAAGCGGCAAAAGCUCAAAUUUGAAAUCUGGCGUCUUSGACGUCCCGAGUUGUAAUUUGAAGAAGGCGACUUUGUAGCUGGUCCUUGUCUAUGUUCCUUGGAACAGGACGUCAUAGAGGGUGAGAAUCCCSUGUGGCGAGGAUCCCMGUUAUUUGUAAAGUGCUUUCGACGAGUCGAGUUGUUUGGGAAUGCAGCUYUAAGUGGGUGGUAAAUUCCAUCUAAAGCUAAAUAUUGGCGAGAGACCGAUAGCGAACAAGUACAGUGAUGGAAAGAUGAAAAGAACUUUGAAAAGAGAGUGAAAAAGUACGUGAAAUUGUUGAAAGGGAAGGGCAUUUGAUCAGACAUGGCGUUUGCUUCGGCUUUCGCUGGGCCRGCAUCAGUUUUAGCGGUUGGAUAAAUCCUCGGGAAUGYGGCUCUGCUUCGGUAGAGUGUUAUAGCCCGUGGGAAUACAGCCAGCUGGGACUGAGGAUUGCGACUUUUGUCAAGGAUGCUG
rnacentral:rRNA from 1 species